CAACAGUGGCAGGGAGUCCGAGUCUGAGGUAGAAUUCAGGAGCUUUUCAGAGAAGUGCCAUAUUUCAUUGUAUUACCUUGGAUUGCUUGACACCCUCCUUGCACUAGGCACAUGAAAGCAGGAAGUGUCAUAUCUAUGAAGACUUCAGAAAAGAAAUACAUGAGCAAAGUUACUACAAUUCAUGUGGGUAGGAGAGAGAAGUGAUUUGCAGCGGAUUACACUGAAAACACUCCAGGUCUCAUUGAGCUCUGAGGUCACAGUUAUUUACCUGAUAAGCAGAUUUUAGCCCAGCACGGAAGUGAGGAAGAAUACAAACAAACAAAGCCUAGAGAAAGUUAAGAUCUAUGUAACUAAUGAACUCAUCACAGGGUAAUAACCAUAUACAGGAUUCCAAUAUUAUGCAAAUACAUCUGAACAAUCGCAGAUCAGUGCUGGAACAAUCUGCUCCUAAGGGCCCCGUGGUACAAACUUGUGUUGGAGCAGUGCUUGAAGAGCAGCUGUCUGUGGGAAGACCGCAGAGCAUCUGUUUGGCAAGGACACUUCCACACUUCCACAAUGGGGCAGGGGAAGAGAGGGACCACGAAGGAGCCGUAGAGAUGAAGAGUUCUGGACUGAUCAGAGUUCCUAUCCCCCAUUUCCCUGUUCUUCUCAGGGGGAAGAUGUAGAAGAGGGUACAUGGGGGAGGGAGGUGAUUUUAAUUUGCUUUUAGUUCUCACCUGGAAAGCAGAACAAAUCUAAUGUAACUGUACAGAAACAUUUAUGUAUAACACCAAGGAAUUGCUACAUAUUUAGAUUAUCCAUUAAUUAACCAUUUAGUCCAUUUUUUUCUUCAUGAGUGUGUUGAAAUUCUACAGUAUAGUGUUAUACAGUGUUCUGCUUCAUUUAAUGAACAUUAAGUUCUCAGUAAAUCAAUGAGAAAAUUUUUCCCCUGUUCAAAAACUGCGAAGAUUAUUCUAUUGUUCAUCCUCUGAACUCAGUCAUUGAAAUAAGGGGGACUGAAGACAAUGUCAGUGAAGAUUCAGUCUGCCCUCUUUCAGUUACAGAAUAUUCUUUGCUUUACAGAACUGUGUGACAAGAUUUAAAAAUACACUCCUGAACAGAAGUUGUGCUAUCCGUCUGCUUAUAUUCCCAAUUGUGCUGUAAUAUAAUGCACUUUAACAAAAUUUGCAGAAAUGUUU
ensembl:lncRNA